rnacentral:rRNA from 1 species
CAACUUUUAACAACGGAUCUCUUGGCUCUCGCAUCGAUGAAGAACGCAGCGAAAUGCGAUAAGUAAUGUGAAUUGCAGAAUUCAGUGAAUCAUCGAAUCUUUGAACGCACCUUGCGCUCCCCGGUAUUCCAGGGAGCACACCUGUUCGAGUGUCGUG